UGAGGAUUGCCUCUAGUUUAUAAACACUUAGUCAGACCAUCUCUUAACCGAUGUGGGACUUCUUAACACACCCCCUCGCGUCCAGCGCUAUUCGGCUUGGUACGCGGAUAUAAAUGGUAGGUGGCCCGAUAUCGGGUGGCCCAACGGAUCUUGGAGAGGCUCUGAUACCAUCUUAGAAAUGAGUAUUAGGCCUAACUCAACCUUACAAAACCGGCUUGUUAGGUGAGGAUUGCCUCUAGUUUAUAAACACUUAGUCAGACC
rnacentral:lncRNA from 1 species